AGCUUGCUCUUUCGCUGACGAGUGGCGCACGGGUGCGUAACGCGUAUACAAUCUACCUUUUACAGGGGGAUAGCCUUUAGAAAUGAAGAAUAAUACCCCAUAGUAUAUAAAUUUCGCAUGUUAUUUAUAUUAAAGAUUUAUCGGUAAAAGAUGAGUAUGCGUUCUAUUAGCUAGAUGGUGUGGUAACGGCACACCAUGGCAACGAUAGAUAGGGGCCCUGAGAGGGGGAUCCCCCACACUGGUACUGAGACACGGACCAGACUCCUACGGGAGGCAGCAGUGAGGAAUAUUGGACAAUGGAGGCAACUCUGAUCCAGCCAUGCCGCGUGCAGGAAGACUGCCCUAUGGGUUGUAAACUGCUUUUAUACAGGAAGAAACCUUUCCACGUGUGGGAAGCUGACGGUACUGUAAGAAUAAGGAUCGGCUAACUCCGUGCCAGCAGCCGCGGUAAUACGGAGGAUCCAAGCGUUAUCCGGAAUCAUUGGGUUUAAAGGGUCCGUAGGUUGAUAAUUAAGUCAGAGGUGAAAGUUUGCGGCUUAACCGUAAAAUUGCCUUUGAUACUGGUUAUCUUGAAUCAUUGUGAAGUGGUUAGAAUAUGUAGUGUAGCGGUGAAAUGCAUAGAUAUUACAUAGAAUACCAAUUGCGAAGGCAGAUCACUAACAAUGUAUUGACACUGAUGGACGAAAGCGUGGGGAGCGAACGGGAUUAGAUACCCCGGUAGUCCACGCCGUAAACGAUGGUCACUAGCUGUUCGGACUUCGGUUUGAGUGGCUAAGCGAAAGUGAUAAGUGACCCACCUGGGGAGUACGUUCGCAAGAAUGAAACUCAAAGGAAUUGACGGGGGCCCGUACAAGCGGUGGAGCAUGUGGUUUAAUUCGAUGAUACGCGAGGAACCUUACCAGGGCUUAAAUGUAG
rnacentral:rRNA from 1 species